AGGCAGCAGUGGGGAAUAUUGGACAAUGGGCGAAAGCCUGAUCCAGCAAUGCCGCGUGAGUGAUGAAGGCCUUAGGGUUGUAAAGCUCUUUUACCAGGGAUGAUAAUGACAGUACCUGGAGAAUAAGCUCCGGCUAACUCCGUGCCAGCAGCCGCGGUAAUACGGAGGGAGCUAGCGUUGUUCGGAAUUACUGGGCGUAAAGAGUACGUAGGCGGUUAUUCAAGUCAGAGGUGAAAGCCUGGAGCUCAACUCCAGAACUGCCUUUGAAACUAGAUAGCUAGAAUCUUGGAGAGGUGAGUGGAAUUCCGAGUGUAGAGGUGAAAUUCGUAGAUAUUCGGAAGAACACCAGUGGCGAAGGCGACUCACUGGACAAGUAUUGACGCUGAGGUACGAAAGCGUGGGGAGCAAACAGGAUUAGAUACCCUGGUAGUCCACGCCGUAAACGAUGAUAACUAGCUGUUCGGGCUCUACGAGCUUGAGUGGCGCAGCUAACGCAUUAAGUUAUCCGCCUGGGGAGUACGGUCGCAAGAUUAAAACUC
rnacentral:rRNA from 1 species